GAGUUUGAUCAUGGUUCAGAUUGAACGCUGGCGGAAUGCUUUACACAUGCAAGUCGAGCGGCAGCGCGGGGCAACCUGGCGGCGAGCGGCGAACGGGUGAGUAAUGCAUCGGAACAUGUCCAUGUCGUGGGGGAUAGCCCGGCGAAAGCCGGAUUAAUACCGCAUACGCCCGAGAGGGGAAAGUGGGGGACCGCAAGGCCUCACGCGAUUGGGUUGGCCGAUGUCCGAUUAGCUAGUUGGCGGGGUAAGAGCCCACCAAGGCGAUGAUCGGUAGCUGGUCUGAGAGGAUGAUCAGCCACACUGGGACUGAGACACGGCCCAGACUCCUACGGGAGGCAGCAGUGGGGAAUUUUGGACAAUGGGGGCAACCCUGAUCCAGCCAUUCCGCGUGAGUGAAGAAGGCC
rnacentral:rRNA from 1 species